rnacentral:rRNA from 1 species
AUUGAACGCUGGCGGCAUGCCUUACACAUGCAAGUCGAACGGCAGCAUAGGAGCUUGCUCCUGAUGGCGAGUGGCGAACGGGUGAGUAAUAUAUCGGAACGUGCCCUAGAGUGGGGGAUAACUAGUCGAACGACUAGCUAAUACCGCAUACGAUCUACGGAUGAAAGUGGGGGAUCGCAAGACCUCAUGCUCCUGGAGCGGCCGAUAUCUGAUUAGCUAGUUGGUGGGGUGAAAGCCUACCAAGGCAACGAUCAGUAGCUGGUCUGAGAGGACGACCAGCCAAACUGGGACUGAGACACGGCCCAGACUGCUACGGGAGGCAGCAGUGGGGAAUUUUGGACAAUGGGGGCAACCCUGAUCCAGCAAUGCCGCGUGAGUGAAGAAGGCCUUCGGGUUGUAAAGCUCUUUUGUCAGGGAAGAAACGGUAGUAGCUAAUAUCUAUUGCUCAUGACGGUACUGUAAGAAUAAGCACCGGCUAACUACGUGCCAGCAGCCGCAGUAA